UUUCAUUUUCAUUUUUUUUCUAUUUUAUUUUUUCUUCUUUUCUUUUAAAAAAAAACUGACUCGGCAAAAAUAAAAUAACAAAACCAAGCAGCGCUUCGUUUAACGUCGCAUGGCUCGACGGGACACCUCAUACUCAGAUGAGUUUAACAGUUUCAAUUGGUCCCCCUUCACCGGGAUUGUAUGGUUUCAACCUCUGACCAUUUGUCAUACGGUGAACUGACUUGGGGUGUUUUGCUUUUUAUCGCAAUGUCGCGGAUAGCA
rnacentral:lncRNA from 1 species